rnacentral:rRNA from 1 species
UACAGAGGGUGCGAGCGUUAAUCGGAAUUACUGGGCGUAAAGCGUGCGUAGACGGUUAUUUAAGUCGGGUGUGAAAGCCCCGGGCUCAACCUGGGAAUUGCAUUCGAGACUGAAUAGCUAGGGUACGGUAGAGGGAAGUGGAAUUUCCGGUGUAGCGGUGAAAUGCGUAGAUAUCGGAAGGAACAUCAGUGGCGAAAGCGACUUCCUGGCCCAACACUGACGCUGAGGUGCGAAAGCGUGGGUAGCAAACAGG